rnacentral:tRNA from 1 species
AGAAUGUGGACCUAAUAAUAGAAGUUUAACU